rnacentral:rRNA from 1 species
UACGGAGGGUGCAAGCGUUAUCCGGAUUUACUGGGUUUAAAGGGUGCGCAGGCGGAUAUGUAAGUCAGUGGUGAAAUCUCUGGGCUUAACCCGGAAAUUGCCAUUGAUACUAUAUAUCUUGAAUACUGUGGAGGUAAGCGGAAUAUGUCAUGUAGCGGUGAAAUGCUUAGAGAUGACAUAGAACACCUAUUGCGAAGGCAGCUUACUACGCAGAGAUUGACGCUCAUGCACGAAAGCGUGGGGAUCAAACAGG